UAGCCGUAAACGAUACUCGCUAGGUGUCGGCCACGGUGCGACCGUUGUCGGUGCCGUAGGGAAGCCGUGAAGCGAGCCACCUGGGAAGUACGGUCGCAAGGCUGAAACUUAAAGGAAUUGGCGGGGGAGCACUACAACGGGUGGAGCCUGCGGUUUAAUUGGAUUCAACGCCGGAAAUCUUACCGGGACCGACAGCAACAUGAAGGCCAAGCUGAAGACUUUGCCAGAUUAGCUGAGAGGAGGUGCAUGGCGUAGUCGUGU
rnacentral:rRNA from 1 species